UGGGGAAUAUUGGACAAUGGGCGAAAGCCUGAUCCAGCCAUGCCGCGUGUGUGAAGAAGGUCUUCGGAUUGAAAAGCACUUUAAGUUGGGAGGAAGGGCAGUAAGCGAAUACCUUGCUGUUUUGACGUUACCGACAGAAUAAGCACCGGCUAACUCUGUGCCAGCAGCCGCGGUAAUACAGAGGGUGCAAGCGUUAAUCGGAAUUACUGGGCGUAAAGCGCGCGUAGGUGGUUCGUUAAGUUGAAUGUGAAAGCCCCUGGCUCAACCUGGGGACUGCAUCCAAAACGGGCGAGCUAGAGUAGGGCAGAGGGUGGUGGAAUUUCCUGUGUAGCGGUGAAAUGCGUAGAUAUAGGAAGGAACACCAGUGGCGAAGGCGACCACCUGGGCUCAUACUGACACUGAGGUGCGAAAGCGGGGGGAGCAAACAGG
rnacentral:rRNA from 1 species